UGUAGCAAAAGACAGAGCUGGAAUCUGAUACCAGAUCUACCUGAUUCAAGUCUAGAUUUUUUUCCACUGUGCACUGCAAAUUAUCCUUCCAUCACUCACCCUGAAACAGAAUUAUUGACCAACAAGUGGGAAGCUGUCCAAGUUUUACUCGACUACUAAAGUGGAGAAUAUCAGUAUCCCCCUCAUUGCUUGAGGGAAGAAGGGUACUGCUGCCAGAAAGCAAUGUCGGCUCAGUCCUGCUGGGGACCCUCUGAGAAAGUGUCUGAAACAUGCCUCAAGAUUGUCCACUGGCGGGUUGUGCCUGAUUGCAGUGGGGCAAAUUCCCAGAGGUGUGAACUUUCACCUUCUCUGAAAACAUCUUCCUUCUCCUUUUCUCCAACAUUCUCCAUCUCCAGCCUCCAGGAAGGAAGAAUAAAGAAAAAAAGUCUAAU